GAUGAACGCUGGCGGCGUGCCUAAUACAUGCAAGUCGAGCGAACGGACGAGAAGCUUGCUUCUCUGAUGUUAGCGGCGGACGGGUGAGUAACACGUGGAUAACCUACCUAUAAGACUGGGAUAACUUCGGGAAACCGGAGCUAAUACCGGAUGAUAUUUUGAACCGCAUGGUUCAAAAGUGAAAGACGGUCUUGCUGUCACUUAUAGAUGGAUCCGCGCUGCAUUAGCUAGUUGGUAAGGUAACGGCUUACCAAGGCAACGAUGCAUAGCCGACCUGAGAGGGUGAUCGGCCACACUGGAACUGAGACACGGUCCAGACUCCUACGGGAGGCAGCAGUAGGGAAUCUUCCGCAAUGGGCGAAAGCCUGACGGAGCAACGCCGCGUGAGUGAUGAAGGUCUUCGGAUCGUAAAACUCUGUUAUUAGGGAAGAACAUAUGUGUAAGUAACUGUGCACAUCGUGACGGUACCUAAUCAGAAAGCCACGGCUAACUACGUG
rnacentral:rRNA from 1 species